UUUCAGAUGUUGUCAGAGUUUAAACCUUCAGUUUACUGUGGCAAAAAGCGAAUACUUGAAAAGACAAUGAUGAUUUUACUCCUCUGAAGGACGUGUAAACAUGAGUUGUCUUCCACCCCAGUUCUAAAUCAGAGCUAGAGCAGCAUUUUGAACCUUCCCGAAUUCAUUCGUUAUCAGCAGCUUCUUCAAAAGUAACUUCUUUCUUUUUUAUCCUCAAGCAGCAAGUGUUAGUAAUUCAUGUUUUCUGCAAAAGAAUGGAAAAGGAUAACUACUAGAUUACCUUCAUAGGAAAAGGAAACUACCAAACACAGGCUUCAAUUGGUUUACUUUUGUUUCAUCAAUAUUUGCUGGCUACUCUUUGGACUUUGGUAACUUAAUGAACAACUAAAAUGACUAUAAUCUUCUCAAUAGCCAUGUUGUAUUCCUGGUCUUACUUUUUCCUAUAUACUAUGAGGAGCCAAUUGUUUUCGUUUUCGGUUCUCGCUUAGAAUCUGUGGUGCUCUACAUCAAUCAAUCACAGCUGCACUGGAGUUCCACUGCUUAGUAGUACUAGAUUUGAUUACUAAUUUGUUGUGUGUUGGUUGAAGACCACAGAGUCCAACAGCUUUUUACCAUUGGGUGUUGUAGAAAUUCAAGAAAGAUGGUAUGGAAAACUAUUUUUCUAUUUGUCGUG